GAUUAACUUUUAUGAACUUUGACAUGAACGAGAUUGAUGUAUUUAUUACUUGAAAUAUGCCAUAUAUGUUGGUAUCGAACCCAUUUAGCCAGUCUCUCGUCAUGUCCGUUUGAUUCUUUAUGAUGCUGUCAGUCAUUCUUAUUGAGAUGCUCUAGAAAUACCUAGACUAGUUAUCGUCUCAUAAUAUUGUCCUUAGUUAAAUAUAACGUACAGCUGAUUCUCAGAAAGAAGAAAAAUCAAGGUGGGAUUGCAGGGAAGGAGGAGGGUUUUCUGCUGCGACAAAGGUGUGCGUGCGUGUGUGGUUGGCCUAGACUGCUUGGCGUGGCAAAGAAAGGAUGUUACGCAGUUCUUAUUUACAACCCAGUGUGCUUUGCCCUGACCCAUGGAAUGUUUUCAUCUCGAUCAGUCAGAAUGGCGUCUAACAGGGAAUCUGGGAUGACGAGGAACUACAACACUGCAAAGAUAAACUGGAGCAGAGAGGAGGAUUAUCAUUGGCUGGUGGUGUAUCAUUAGACUGCACCCUGCCAGCUGACCUACCUCACUUCCCCGCUUCGAUUGAGAUGUCAUACAGAGGAGCAUGCUGGGAAUUGUGGUCCGUGUUAAAGUGUGUCAGGCUACUCUGAGGAUAGGGUAAUUUUAGCCAUGUCUUGUUAUAUGUUAUCGUUUGUAUAUGUAUGAAGAUAUUAAGAGAAGCAGUUCUUCUGUGUCCAGUUUUCUGAAAGAGAUUAAUUUUAUAUUUUUAUUAGAAUUUAUAAAUUUAUAAAUCAGUUUGAC